UACGUAGGUGGCAAGCGUUGUCCGGAAUUAUUGGGCGUAAAGCGCGCGCAGGCGGUUUUUUAAGUCUGAUGUGAAAGCCCACGGCUCAACCGUGGAGGGGCCUUGGAAACUGGGGAACUUGAGUGCAGAAGAGGAAAGUGGAAUUCCAUGUGUAGCGGUGAAAUGCGUAGAGAUGUGGAGGAACACCAGUGGCGAAGGCGACUUUCUGGUCUGUAACUGACGCUGAGGCGCGAAAGCGUGGGGAGCAAACAGG
rnacentral:rRNA from 1 species